GUNGCAAACANNCUUUAUUAGCUUCUUGUUCNUCCNCUCANUAAAAGGAUGAAUGCUAAGUUGUUGGAGUNUUCCCUCCNUUCAGUGCUGCAGNUNACGCAAUAAGCAUUCCGCGGGGGGGAGUACGCCCGCAAGGUAGAAACUCAAAGGAAUUGACGGGGGNCCCGCACAAGCGGUGGAGCAUGUGGUUUAAUUNGAAGCAACGCGAAGAACCUUACCAGGUCUUGACGUGUUUUGACAAUCCUAGAGAUAGGACUUUCCCUUCGGGGACAAAAUGACAGGUGGUGCAUGGUUGUCGUCAGCUCGUGUCGUGAGAUGUUGGGUUAAGUCCCGCAACGAGCGCAACCCUUAUUGUUAGUUGCCAGCAUUAAGUUGGGCACUCUAGCAAGACUGCCGGUGACAAACCGGAGGAAGGUGGGGAUGACGUCAAAUCAUCAUGCCCCUUAUGACCUGGGCUACACACGUGCUACAAUGGACGGUACAACGAGUCGCAAGACCGCGAGGUUUAGCAAAUCUCUUAAAGCCGUUCUCAGUUCGGAUUGUAGGCUGCAACUCGCCUACAUGAAGUCGGAAUCGCUAGUAAUCGCGGAUCAGCAUGCCGCGGUGAAUACGUUCCCGGGCCUUGUACACACC
rnacentral:rRNA from 2 species